CCUACGGGAGGCAGCAGUGAGGAAUAUUGGUCAAUGGGCGAGAGCCUGAACCAGCCAAGUCGCGUGAGGGAGUACUGCCCUAUGGGUUGUAAACCUCUUUUGUCGGGGAGCAAAAGCCGGACGUGUCCGGCUGUGAGAGUACCCGAAGAAAAAGCAUCGGCUAACUCCGUGCCAGCAGCCGCGGUAAUACGGAGGAUGCGAGCGUUAUCCGGGUUUAUUGGGUUUAAAGGGUGCGCAGGCGGAUUUUUAAGUCAGCGGUAAAAUCGUGGGGCUCAACCCCAUCCAGCCGUUGAAACUGGGGAUCUAGAGUGUGCGAGAGGUAUGCGGAAUGCGUGGUGUAGCGGUGAAAUGCAUAGAUAUCACGCAGAACCCCGAUUGCGAAGGCAGCAUACCGGUGCACAACUGACGCUCAGGCACGAAAGCGUGGGUAUCGAACAGGAUUAGAUACCCGUGUAGUC
rnacentral:rRNA from 1 species